GUGCUAGAAACUCUUUUGUCUACGCGGCUGGACUAGUGCCGAGGCGGAGCGCUCGCUCCAAGUACCCUUAUCCGGAACCCAAACACGCUUGGGGCUCUGUCGCUUCGUCCAGGGGACUAGCAGCGUCUGUUUGCGGUGAUGAUGACAAGCGCUUCCAGACUGCUCCCCAUGCAGUGAUUCCCCAAAAGUCUCUUCGAAGAAAACUUGACGGACACGCUUCUCCUCGACGGCUAGCAGCGUCUCUUUGCGGCGAUGAUGACAAGCGCUUCCAGACUGCUCUCUAUGCGGAGAUUCUCCAAAAGUCUCUUCGAAGAAAACUUGACGGACACGCUUCUCCUCGACGGCUAGCAGCGUCUCUUUGCGGUGAUGAUGACAUGCGCUUCCAGACUGCUCCCCAUGCAGUGAUUCCCCAAAAGUGUCUUCGAAGAAAACUUGACGGACACGCUUCUCCUCGACGGCUAGCAGCGUCUCUUUGCGGCGAUGAUGACAAGCGCUUCCAGACUGCUCUCCAUGCAGUGAUUCCCCAAAAGUCUCUUCGAAGAAAACUUGACGGACACGCUUCUCCUCGACGGCUAGCAGCGUCUGUUUGCGGUGAUGAUGACAAGCGCUUCCAGACUGCUCUCCAUGCAGUGAUUCCCCAAAAGUCUCUUCGAAGAAGGCUUGAAAAACACGCAUAUACGCCCGCAUGAGUGCCGACCCGACGAGUGCGUACCUCACAGGGCUCGCGCGUCCAAGCGAGUCUCAUACAAGACCGGCCGCUCGACGAUCCGUCGGCAGCAUUGACGUCCCCUGACUCAGCCAACAUGAACGCACUUUCACCAGAAUAAGCUUUGAUGCAUCCAGUAGCAGAGGCAGAAGGCUAGUGGUAUCGACACUCUGCCACAGAAAAACUGAUAAUUCGCCAUACCGAGUCGAUGAGCAAUUCGAACGUAUGGACAAGAGCCUCGAGACGCAAUGCAGCUUUGCAGAAACGACGUGUAUGCUGUACAGCGCGGCAUCCUGCCAGGAAGCGCCGUACGCGUCAGGCGCUCGUCAUGCGCCCCAGCGGCGCCCAGGGAUAGCCACGAGGCCGCGGCAUCGCCGAUGCCAAUCGAUCGUCUGUCGCCCGCAAGGCACUGCACAAACGCGGAGCACGGAGCGUAUGCCCCGCGAUCAGUUGCCGUUCAGCAGCAGGCCAAAGCAGGCAACAGCGGCUCUUCUGCUUGCAGCCCGCAUGGUGACAGCAUACCGUCGAUGAUCCCGGAGUCGUCGAUCCAGCGCAACGUGUCGAAGCAGUAGCAGGAGCAGGAGCAGCAGCAGCAGCAGCAGCCACGCAUGCUCUAGCACCCAAGUCGCUCGCAUCGUGACAGAAUACAGCUUUUAUAAAGCUCCA